rnacentral:rRNA from 1 species
AGAGUUUGAUCCUGGCUCAGGAUAAACGCUGGCGGCGUGCCUAACACAUGCAAGUCGAACGCCCAUGGACAUCCAUGGGAGUGGCGGACGGGUGAGGAACACGUGGGUAUCUGCCCAGAGGUGAGGAAUACCGGCGAGAAAUCGCCGACAAGACCGCAUAGGCUUCGGGAGAAGCAAAGUCGCAAGACGCCUUUGGAUGA